AACGCACCUUGCGCUCUUUGGUAUUCCGAGGAGCAUGCCUGUUUGAGUAUCAUGGCUAUAUUCAAUUUUCUUUUCUUUUAAAAAGAACUGAAAACUUGGAUCGGUGGAGGGUUGUGCUGGUCAAAAUGGGUUGGCAUUUUUAUAAUGCUUCAAUUCUUAACCUGCUCCUCUUAAAUGUAUGAGUGAAAGGCAUUCUUUUUAGUGAACCCUCUUCACUGGCAUAAUAGGUUGAUUUCUAUCUUGUCCGUGUGAGGGUUUAAAGAAGGAUCAUUUUUGCUUCAAACUGUCUCUAGUAAGACUUCUUGACCAUUGAUCUCAAAUCAGGUAGGAUUACCCGCUGAACUUAA
rnacentral:misc_RNA from 1 species